CAUAAUGCGGUUGUCUCUAGUCUUAGGCCUUUUGGUGUUAUGCCCUUUUAUACCAGAAAUAUCAAGUUAUCAUCGCAAGGUUAGACAGAAUAGUGGGAACAAGCAUGUGAUUCGCGGCGAUGGAAGCCCUGAAAACGAAGAUGACGUCUCUGACAGUGAAUUGUCUGAAAUGGAGAAACACAAUAAUUUAAUAAAAAAACACAAAAUGAAGUGGUACAGCUCCGAUAGAUGGCAACAUUUAAAAGAUAAUUUUGUAUUAAAUCCAUAUUCUCCAAAAUUUACCAAAGGCACAGGAAAAAAACUGCCUUUAAGCAAGAAUAAUGUUAACAUAGUUGUGAAGGGAAAUCAAUACAAUAAUGGUGGCAAAGGUGGAAAAGGGGGUAAAGGGGGUAAAGG